rnacentral:misc_RNA from 1 species
GUGAGUCAUCGAAUCUUUGAACGCACAUUGCGCCUGCUAGCAUUCUGGCAGGCAUGCCUGUCCGAGCGUCAUUUCCACCCUCACGCGCCGCGUGGUGUUGGGGCUCUCUCCGCAGCGAGAGGCCCCGAAAGCGAGUGGCGGACCGCCUGGUUUGGCUCCGAGCGCAGUAACUCACUCUCGCUCUGGACUCCCAGCGGCCCUGCCGUGAAGCCGUGCUCCCCCCAAAGGACACACCCCACCAAAGGUUGACCUCGGAUCAGGUAGGACUACCCGCUGAACUUAAGCAUAUCAAUAAGCGGAGGA